GAUGAACGCUGACAGAAUGCUUAACACAUGCAAGUCAACUUGAAUUUGGGUUUUUAACUUAGAUUUGGGUGGCGGACGGGUGAGUAACGCGUAAAGAACUUGCCUCACAGCUAGGGACAACAUUUAGAAAUGAAUGCUAAUACCUAAUAUUAUGAUAAUAGGGCAUCCUAUAAUUAUGAAAGCUAUAUGCGCUGUGAGAGAGCUUUGCGUCCCAUUAGCUAGUUGGAGAGGUAACAGCUCACCAAGGCGAUGAUGGGUAGCCGGCCUGAGAGGGUGAUCGGCCACAAGGGGACUGAGACACGGCCCUUACUCCUACGGGAGGCAGCAGUGGGGAAUAUUGGACAAUGGACCGAGAGUCUGAUCCAGCAAUUCUGUGUGCACGAUGAAGUUUUUCGGAAUGUAAAGUGCUUUCAGUUGGGAAGAAAGAAAUGACGGUACCAACAGAAGAAGUGACGGCUAAAUACGUGCCAGCAGCCGCGGUAAUACGUAUGUCACGAGCGUUAUCCGGAUUUAUUGGGCGUAAAGCGCGUCUAGGUGGUUAUAUAAGUCUGAUGUGAAAAUGCAGGGCUCAACUCUGUAUUGCGUUGGAAACUGUAUAACUAGAGUACUGGAGAGGUAAGCGGAACUACAAGUGUAGAGGUGAAAUUCGUAUAUAUUUGUACGAAUGCCGAUGGGGAAGCCAGCUUACUGGGACAGAUACUGACGCUGAAGCGCGGAAGCGUGGGUAGCAGCAGGAUUAAUACCCUAGUAGUCCAAGGCGAAGUCCGCAGGGGAUAUCAAGCUUUGCGAUACGGCGACCCUCAAGGGGGGCGCGUCCCCAGCUGUGUUGCUUGAGUGAGGGUGGGGGGCAAAACCCCGAAUCAAUGUCUAGUAGUUGCAG
rnacentral:rRNA from 1 species